rnacentral:rRNA from 1 species
AACUCUCAACAACGGAUAUCUUGGCUCCCGUAACGAUGAAUAACGCACCGAAAUGCGAUACGUAGUGUGAAUUGCAGAAUUCCGUGAACCAUCGAAUCUUUGAACGCAAAUUGCGCUCGAGGCCUCGGCCAAGAGCAUGUCUGCCUCAGCGUC